UAGGUCACAGAGGACUGGUCCUAAGAGUUUGGACGGUGUCCAACGAUAGAUUAGUUUAGAGUAGUGUAGUAUUCUUAGGUUAUUUUAGUCAUUCGGUUUAUUCACGCCUGGGUUGGAUCCCACAGCGUGUGAUUUUCUCUAUGGAUACUUGUAUUGGGUAUUUAUAGGUGUAUAUGGAAAAAAAUUGCUCAUAAGAUCAAUUUUUUUUUCCAAGUAAUGGGAGAAUGUAACGAUCAGUAUCCCGAUCGUUACUAUAAGAUUCAUUUCUGUAACUAUUAAGUAUGCAACCCGGUAUACGUUCACUCGCAUAGAGUGUAAUCUAAACUUGAGCCCAUUAUAAUUAUUUUGGUUGGUAGUAUGGUUAGUGAAUUUUACAUUUAUUCGUUGGCUCAUGGGUAAAUGACAAUUUCCGCCUGUUGACAGGACGGAAAGAAAGUGAAAGUUGAUGGUUACUUGAUCUUCGGUAGCCGUCUGCAAAUGAUGUGAUUUUCCAGCGACCGGUGUCUAGCCAUUUUAUUUUAUUUAGAAAAUAAUUAUUUAGUUGAAAAGGAAUGCAUUUAAGUUGGAAAGAAGUUUAUUUUAUGGUAUAAAUUAUGGUGAGAGUGCUGUUUUAGUUCCAAUAUCGGAGGAUUCUGGACAUUGGUCGCUGGAGAAUAGAAGAUUUAGUCAACAGAAAUAAGAAUAAUUUUUGGGAAAGAGUGGGAAAUUUUGGGACAUAUUUGGAAGUUUUGAUUUUAUUGGAAUCUUGGUUUUUAUGGAGUUUAUUUUUUGGAAUUCGCCGGUACUGAGAGGUAUCUCCAGUUGGUAACAAGGAUACACCUCCCUCCUAGGUUGAGGAACACCGCAAGCUACCUUCCUUGGGCCUCUGAUCAUUCCCUGGAAAGAGUUGGAGAACCCAUGGUCACUUGGUAGACCGGACAGGUUUUUAUAAGUCAAUUUGAUUGUAAUUUGUUUUAAUAAUAUUUGCACUUUUACCUAUUUUUUUUUUGUAUCAAUAACUUAAUAAUCCUAAUAAUAGUAUACCUUCAUUUUCUUAAACAUAAUUAAACUAAACAAUAAUUUUUCAAAAAUUUUAUAUUUCAAGGUUAGCUCAUUUAUUUUAAAAUAGUAGGGGGGAUUAUAAACUAUCUGUAAAGAUAGUGUGCACAUUAUCUCAGUUUGAAUCCUUAUCGAAACUUUGAUUUCAUUGUCAGGUAUUAUACUUACGUUUAUCACCUCCGAACAGAUACGAUAUUGUCAGCCAAUAUUGGCUUCUUCAUUAACAACAAAUUUGUACAUACAUUUUUACAUUAAUUAACUUUCAUAUAUAAACCAUUCUUUUCAUAUUUUUCACAUAUUGUAAAAACCUGUGUUAUCAACAGGAGUGUCAUAGCUUAGUACGUCCGGUUUAGCUAGUGUAUAAAAAUUGUAUAUAGGGGUUAUAGGUUUGUUUCAUUAAAUUUGUUAGUUGUACCUAAA